rnacentral:rRNA from 1 species
GAGUUUGAUCUUGGCUCAGAGCGAACGUUAGCGGCGGGCUUAACACAUGCAAGUCGAACGAGAAUGAGGGCUUCGGCUCUCUAGUAAAGUGGCGGACGGGUGCGUAACACGUGGGUAAUGUACCUUCCAGCGGGGGACAACCGUCCGAAAGGAUGGCUAAUACCGCGUACGUCGGCGAGGGCUCCGGUCCUUGUCGGGAAAGAUGGCCUCUCCUUGGAAGCUAUCACUGGAAGAUCAACCCGCGGCCCAUCAGCUAGUUGGUGAGGUAACGGCUCACCAAGGCUAAGACGGGUAGCUGGUCUGAGAGGAUGAUCAGCCACACUGGGACUGCGACACGGCCCAGACUCCUACGGGAGGCAGCAGUGGGGAAUAUUGGGCAAUGGGCGAAAGCCUGACCCAGUCACGCCGCGUGAGUGAUGAAGGCCUUCGGUC